UACGAAGGGUGCGAGCGUUAUUCGGAGUGAUUGGGCGUAAAGGGUGCGUAGGCUGUGCGUUAAGUCAACUGUCAAAUUUCCCAGCUUAACUGGGAGCCGGCGGUUGAAACUGGCGUGCUUGAGGGUGGAAGAGAGAAGUGGAAUUCUCGGAGUAGCGGUAAAAUGCGUAGAUCUCGAGAGGAACACCGAUGGCGAAGGCAGCUUCUUGGUCCAUUCCUGACGCUGAUGCACGAAAGCGUGGGGAGCAAACAGG
rnacentral:rRNA from 1 species